UUGUUUCUUCCUAUCGUGGUUGUUUUGUACAAAAAUUCCUCAACUUUUUCGUAAUCAAACCUCAGUCCUUGGAAUUAGACCAUUUUUGCUAAAAAGUAACAGUGCCAUCCACCCGUCCGUGUCCCAUCCUCCCGUGACCUCCUCUUCCAGUCCGCUUCCGUAACAUCCUCUUCCAGUCCGCCGCCGGCCCCCUCGCCAUCCUCCGAUCGCCUGCACCACCGGCCGCCGACCACCUCACCGCAGAGCAGAGGUCAGGCGGGAUGGCUUCCGAUGCCUAGGCGCUGCAGCCCAAGCCCACCAGGGUCUCGCUGUCCUACGAGAUCUCCAAGGUGAAGCUGCGAAGCCCAUGGUGAGGCCUCAAAGGGCAUGACUAAUGAUGAUGAGUUGGACUGGGGAGCAGAUGAGGCAGAAACCGAAGCUGAUGGUGCCCCGCGGCCGAUUCACGGCGGACACUGGCUGUAUAAGGGAGCUCGAACACCGCCCACCGUUCGUUGCUUGAGCCCAAGUGCUGCCGGCCAAUUCGAGCCUUUCCGCCGCCGAUUCGUCGUCCUUCAGACGAAGUCCUCCCCCGCUCGAGCGUGGCUGCCGCUGCGUCAGCUACUCCCCCGCUCAAGCCCAUCUCAGCCCCAAGCCCCAAGCUCGCCUCCGAUGUCUGUGCCGCCCACAGCCCCCUCCGUCCGAAGCUCGUCAGGCUGGAGGCCCCACAUGUCCACAGCGGAGCUCCCUCACGCCGGUCCCCGGGUAGAUUUCGCGUGGAUCCGUAAGCUCCCUGCUACGAUCUCCUCAUCAUCGUGCGGCUUUUCAUUGGCUGCUGAUCGAUCUUUCGAUUGGUCAGAACCAUACUCUACAUUGUCGAUUUGUGUUGGUCCCUUGAGAUUCUGCACCAUGGGUUCGUUCCAAAGCUUGUAUUGUGAAUUUGAUAUCCAGAUGAUUGCCUGAUUGGAUUCUUGUUUCUAUAACUUGUAAAUGUCAAUUGAGCUAGACAGAGUAUUUUGUUUGAA